rnacentral:rRNA from 1 species
UACGGAGGGUGCAAGCGUUAUCCGGAUUCACUGGGUUUAAAGGGUGCGUAGGAGGACAGGUAAGUCAGUGGUGAAAUCUCCGAGCUUAACUUGGAAACUGCCGUUGAUACUAUCUGCCUUGAAUAUUGUGGAGGUGAGCGGAAUAUGUCAUGUAGCGGUGAAAUGCUUAGAUAUGACAUAGAACACCAAUUGCGAAGGCAGCUUACUACGGAUCGAUUGACACUGAGGCACGAAAGCGUGGGGAUCAAACAGG